UAGAGGUAUUAAAAGAUAUUGUGCUCCAUAUGACUAAUGGAAGAUGCUGAGGUUGAUAAUACUGUGAGAAAUAUUUUGUUAUGUAAUAAGCAUUUAUGAAAACUUUUCAUGUACUUUGUCAUAUCUGGGCUGAUCCUUCUGUAAAUUUUUUUUUGUACGUUUGUUAGUUGCAGGAAGUGACAUAAUACAGUAAACAUGCAGGGAGUUAGUUCUGUAACUAACUAGUAGCCAUUGCAACUGAAGAGAAGAGAGCAGCAUUGCCAAGGAUUGUGGUAGAAAGUCAGUGCGGCAUCUGUUCUUGGACGGCCUUUUGAUGAGUGUUCCUGAAAAUCUGACUUCCCCCUACUUUCUUCUAAAUUCCUGAUUAUGCAAUCCCUUUUACGUUGAACCAAACAGCAGUUACAACUGAAAAAGGACGCAUACAAAUUGUGGCCACUCACUUCAGGGCUGACACUUGAAAGUAUAUCAAAGUAUCCUGCAAACAGCCUAUCAUGUGUGUAUAAAAUUGUACAUUUCUUGACAAAAGCACAGCCUGAAGAACGCAGGACAAAACUUUUUGUGAGAAAGAAGAUCUUGCACAAACAGAACAAGAUGACUUUGGAGGAAAAGGAAACUAUGUACUGUCACUAAGUCAACACAAACUUAUCCAAGUGUGUCAUAGACUGAAGACAUAAUUCUGCACUGCCAACAACAAAAAGCUGUGCCUACAGCAGGUCUAUGGGUAAAGCCCUUCAUAUCCUCUUUACACCUAUGCCUUACAGAUCACUGCUUAUGUUACUAGUAUUUUUGUGCUUUUGCUAUGAAACUCUAGCAGCCAGAACUGAGAUUAGAUGUCUCCCUUUUCUUUUGUGUGAGAAUUGGCCUUACAGCAGCCAUGAAGAAGGUGCAGGAUAUGACCUGUCAGAGCACAGCAGCAUGGUACCACUCCACUGCUCAGUGGCACAUUCAGCAUGGAUUACCAUAUGGUUAUACAACACAAUGGAAAUGAAAUAAA